GACUACAUUAUCUUCUCCAACCCGAUACCAAGCCCUAACACCAUUCUACCUUAUUAUCAGUCAUUCACUCCGGCUAACGGCGAUGUCUCACUUCGGAAGAACAGGCCCUCCGGACAUCAAAGAUACCUUCUCUCUGCUCGUUCUCAACGUUACUUUCCGUACCACUGCUGAUGACUUGUUUCCUCUUUUCGAUAAGUAUGGAAAAGUUGUCGAUGUCUUUAUCCCUAGAGACCGAAGGACUGGAGAUUCUAGAGGUUUUGCAUUUGUGCGCUACAAGUAUCAGGAUGAGGCUCAAAAGGCAGUGGAAAAGCUCGAUGGAAGAGUUGUAGAUGGUCGAGAAAUAAUGGUUCGAUUUGCAAAGUACGGCCCAAAUGCCGAGAGAAUUGACAAAGGUAGAAUUUUGGAGCCUGUAAAUAGGACAGGAGGAAGGUCAAGAAGCCGUAGUCCUAGAUCAAGGCAUCGAGAUCAUUAUAGGGACAAGGAUUCUAAAAGGAGAAGCCGAAGUAGAAGUGGGGGGAGGUAUGACCGUGAUCGGUACCGUGGAAGAGACAAAGAUUACCGUCAGCGGAGCAGAAGCCGCAGCCCGGAUUAUCACAAAGCUCGUGGAAGGGGUAAAUAUGAUGAAGAGAGGCGCAGCCUAAGUCGGUCUCAUGGAAGUGCCUCUCCUGUUCGUCGUAGCCCCAGUCCUCGGAGGAGCCCUUCUCCACGCAGAACAACCCCUUCUAGGGAUGCUAGUCCAGAUGGUCGUAAUCGCAAGGAGCGGUCUCCAACUCCCAAGAGUGUCUCACCGCGUGGUAGACGUGCUGGUUCUCGCAGCCCCUUGCCAUGUUCUGAUGCUGAUGAUUAAGUAGCAAAGGAGGAGGCCACAAUUGUCAUCUGGCUUUGGUCAAUGCUGCGUAUCAAGAGGACAUUCCCAAAUGAAGGACCUUUCAUCUAUUUUCUGCUUGCUAGAACUGAUUGGCCUGACUUAUUUAUAAGCUGGGUCCGUGAAAAGUCAAUGUGGCUGAAUAGCAAGAUGAUGCAGUAGCUGUUGAUGCUGUUUUAUUUGCUGUUGGUUGUAAUUUUGUUGCUGGUCACAAACUACUGUUUCUUAGCUCAAUGGCAAGAAGAUGCAGCAGCUGUCGAUGCUGUUUUAACUUGGCUGUUUAUAAUUUGUUGCUGGUGAUAUACUACUGUUUGUUGGUUAAAUGAUGGCUAUGGAUUUGACUAAGCUUGAUGAGGAUGUUGGAAAAGGUAUCAAGAUGUUGCUUAGGGAGCUUUCGGAUUUUCCUGUUGCCCGAUACUUAGCAGGGUCGGCUCUUUAUGUUUGGUUAAUGAGGCUGUGAUGAGAGUUCAAAAGCAAAGUGGGUGAUGGGCCUGUUAUUUUUCUUUUACCUUACCUGUUGCAAUUGGCAAACUUCCAUGUUGCAGCAGAAAGAAUAAUCCUUCAAUUUCAUUCCAUAUUGACGAACCAAUGGACAUUCCUGCCAAGACCACUGUCAGCUUUGUGGACGAUGGAGAGUGGACAUUUUGUUAUUCUUUCUUCAAUCUUUUUAAAAUAAAAUUGUGAUCCAACGGCAUUUACUAGAACUCGCCAAUGGAACAAUUGUCCAUAUAAAAUGUACAAAUGAUGUUUGUUAUAAACCAAUAGAUAUAUGAUAUAUGUUUGCACAUAUUUUAUCACGUAA